rnacentral:rRNA from 1 species
GAUGAACGCUGGCGGCGUGCCUAAUACAUGCAAGUCGAGCGAACGGACGAGAAGCUUGCUUCUCUGAUGUUAGCGGCGGACGGGUGAGUAACACGUGGAUAACCUACCUAUAAGACUGGGAUAACUUCGGGAAACCGUAGCUAAUACCGGAUAAUAUUUUGAACCGCAUGGUUCAAAAGUGAAAGACGGUCUUGCUGUCACUUAUAGAUGGAUCCGCGCUGCAUUAGCUAGUUGGUAAGGUAACGGCUUACCAAGGCAACGAUGCAUAGCCGACCUGAGAGGGUGAUCGGCCACACUGGAACGGAGAAACGGCCCGGACUCCUAGGGGAGGAGGAAGAAGGGAAUCUUCCGAAAGGGGCGAAAGCCUGACGGAGCAACGCCGCGGGAGUGAGGAAGGUUUUCGGAUCGUAAAACUCUGUUAUUAGGGAAGAACAGAUGUGUAAGUAAAUGUGCACAUCUUGACGGUACCUAAUCAGAAAGCCACGGCUAACUACGUG